rnacentral:rRNA from 1 species
GAGUUUGAUCCUGGCUCAGGAUGAACGCUGGCGGUCUGCUUAACACAUGCAAGUCGAACGGAUGUCUUCGGACAUUAGUGGCGGACGGGUGAGUAACGCGUGAGGAUCUGCCUUCAGGAGGGGGAUAACGACUAGAAAUGGUCGCUAAUACCCCAUAUGCCGAGAGGUGAAACGAAUUUUGCCUGAAGAUGAGCUCGCGUCAGAUUAGCUAGUUGGUGAGGUAACGGCUCACCAAGGCGACGAUCUGUAGCUGGUCUGAGAGGAUGAUCAGCCACACUGGGACUGAGACACGGCCCAGACUCCUACGGGACGCAGCAGA